GGUGGAUUACGCGCGCGCUGGACGGACUCUUGGAUUGACUGAAGAAGAAGAAGAGCAGUUUGAGAGAUGAAGCUCACGCUGAACGCCCCUCGGGUGGUGUGAUGAAGAGUGAGUGAUGAGCUGCGGUGAGGAAUGUCCGUCUGUCUGCUGCUGGUCCUCUUCACACUGACCGCAAACACUCAGGUGUCUUCUGGGAAAUCUCUGAAGCUGCUGCAGGAGCAAUGGAGGAUCUACACGAAUGAGUGCAUCCAGAGCUUGAUCAGCGCACCGCCGGCCGCAGGGCCGGUGUGUAACAGGACGUUUGAUCAGUACGUGUGUUGGCCCGAUGGAUCGCCGGGCACCACGGUUAAUGUGUCCUGCCCG